CUUCUCCUUAAUGCGGCCGGGAACGCGGCCAGGUUCGUUUCGAAGGAUCGCUAGCUUCAUUCCUUCUUCCGAUAUUAAUCCCAGGUGGCGCUUGGAUGACGACCGAAACCGAAAGGCGCCACGUACUAUAUUCCUCCCCCUCUCCGUCUCCGACUCCUGUUCUCUUGCCCACCUCUUUCCCUUCUCUCCGUCACUGCCUCUUCGUUUCUCGGGGCGAGAUGGCCCGAUUCGGUGGAUGGAUUCGGUUCUUGAUGUUGUUCCUUCGAGUUCUCAUGGAGAGGCCCGUCCAGAAUGAGAUCCAGCUCGACUUCUGAUCUCAGGUGGAAGACGAUGAUGUUGAGGGGAAGACGCUGAUGCUCCGAAAGAAGCAAGCUUGAAACUGAAGUAGACUCAAGGUUGCGGCCAUCAAAGCAAGCAGAGAGAUCCGACAUGUCAUUCUUCUUUUUAGAUGUACAAACUGAAGCCACAAACAGGGAAAUUAUCCAUGUGGUUAAUUCAAUAUGCUAGGUUUUUCUUUUUCCUUCUUUUUGGAAGAUGCCUAUCCUCCUGGAAUCCUUUCUACCUCGAGCUCUGUUGAGCAGGACUCUAAAGUUCUGUCUUGAUCUAUAGCUUGUUUAGGAGGAGCAGAUUGAGCCAACCAUCUACCCUUAUUUUCUGCAAGCUAGUUGAUAGAUUAUGCUGUGUAUCAGUUAUAUUCUUCCAAGCAUUCAUGUUUUUGAGUAAGCAAUAUAGUCCUUUUUCUUCUUUUUCUCUUCAA